CCAGAAGGAAGGUAGCUCAGGCUGAAAUCACUUCACGACACUUUGCUCUUCUCUGCAAUCAAACCCUUUAAAUAUCCUGGUUUCUUCCAGUUCCAGGGCAGAAAAAACAGCCGGCAAGUACUUCAAAGAUUAUUUUUGUCAAGGUCAUGGCAGAAGGAAAAUGAGGGAAAAAGGAACAACCCUCCACAUCCCCCUGGCUGCCCCUCCUCGGAGUAAAGGGAAGUUGGGAGUAUUGUGCUCCCCUGAGAGCCGUUGCCACGGUUACGGAGCCACAACACGGCGGCUAGUCACGCGAGCGGGCACCGGGCGGGCGUCGGGGCAGCUGGCCCGGCCUCCUGGAACCAGAUCACUCACAGGGGCCGCU
rnacentral:lncRNA from 1 species